rnacentral:tRNA from 1 species
GCCCCCGUGCCGAAAUCGGUAGACGGGCCACAGUAGGACUGUGGUGGGCCACUCCGGCCCGUGCGGGUUCGAAGCCCGCCGGGGGCA